rnacentral:rRNA from 1 species
UACGGGGGGAGCAAGUGUUGUUCGGAUUUACUGGGCGUAAAGGGCGCGUAGGCGGCCACGACAAGUCACUUGUGAAAUCUCCGGGCUUAACCCGGAACGGUCAAGUGAUACUGUCGGGCUAGAGUGCAGAAGGGGCAACUGGAAUUCUCGGUGUAGCGGUGAAAUGCGUAGAUAUCGUAAGGAAGACCAGUGGCGAAGGCGAGUCUCUGGACAGUUACUGACGCUGAGGCACGAAGGCCAGGGGAGCAAACGGG